rnacentral:pre_miRNA from 1 species
UUUUGAAUCCCCCGUUGGCAGUGUAGUUAGCUGGUUGAUGUUUUUAAAAUCAACAGCUUACCAAAUUGCCAUCCGGAGGUUCAUAUA